rnacentral:rRNA from 1 species
AGUGAACGCUGGCGGUAGGCCUAACACAUACAAGUCGAACGGCAGCACAGGAGAGCUUGCUCUCUGGGUGGCGAGUGGCGGACGGGUGAGGAAUACAUCGGAAUCUACUCUGUCGUGGGGGAUAACGUAGGGAAACUUACGCUAAUACCGCAUACGACCUACGGGUGAAAGCAGGGGACCUUCGGGCCUUGCGCGAUUGAAUGAGCCGAUGUCGGAUUAGCUAGUUGGCGGGGUAAAGGCCCACCAAGGCGACGAUCCGUAGCUGGUCUGAGAGGAUGAUCAGCCACACUGGAACUGAGACACGGUCCAGACUCCUACGGGAGGCAGCAGUGGGGAAUAUUGGACAAUGGGCGCAAGCCUGAUCCAGCCAUACCGCGUGGGUGAAGAAGGCCUUCGGGUUGUAAAGCCCUUUUGUUGGGAAAGGAAUCCAGCUGGCUAAUACCCGGUUGGGAUGACGGUACCCAAAGAAUAAGCACCGGCUAACUUCGUGCCAGCCGCCGCAGUAA